GAUGAACGCUGGCGGCGUGCCUAAUACAUGCAAGUCGAGCGAACGGACGAGAAGCUUGCUUUUCUGAUGUUAGCGGCGGACGGGUGAGUAACACGUGGAUAACCUACCUAUAAGACUGGGAUAACUUCGGGAAACCGGAGCUAAUACCGGAUAAUAUUUUGAACCGCAUGGUUCAAAAGUGAAAGACGGUCUUGCUGUCACUUAUAGAUGGAUCCGCGCUGCAUUAGCUAGUUGGUAAGGUAACGGCUUACCAAGGCAACGAUGCAUAGCCGACCUGAGAGGGUGAUCGGCCACACUGGAACUGAGACACGGUCCAGACUCCUACGGGAGGCAGCAGUAGGGAAUCUUCCGCAAUGGGCGAAAGCCUGACGGAGCAACGCCGCGUGAGUGAUUAAGGUCUUCGGAUCGUAAAACUCUGUUAUUAGGGAAGAACAUAUGUGUAAGUAACUGUGCACAUCUUGACGGUACCUAAUCAGAAAGCCACGGCUAACUACGUG
rnacentral:rRNA from 1 species